rnacentral:rRNA from 1 species
CACGGUAAACGAUGGAUGCCCGCUGUUGGCGAUACAGUGUCAGCGGCCAAGAGAAAUCGUUAAGCAUCCCACCUGGGGAGUACGCCGGCAACGGUGAAACUCAAAGGAAUUGACGGGGGCCCGCACAAGCGGAGGAACAUGUGGUUUAAUUCGAUGAUACGCGAGGAACCUUACCCGGGCUUGAACUGCAGCAGAACGAUUCAGAGAUGAUGAGGCCCUUCGGGGCUGCUGUGGAGGUGCUGCAUGGUUGUCGUCAGCUCGUGCCGUGAGGUGUCGGCUUAAGUGCCAUAACGAGCGCAACCCUUUUCGCCAGUUGCCAUCAGGUGAUGCUGGGCACUCCGGCGAUACUGCCACCGUAAGGUGUGAGGAAGGUGGGGAUGACGUCAAAUCAGCACGGCCCUUACGUCCGGGGCUACACACGUGUUACAAUGGGUGGUACAGAGAGUCGGUGCAUGGCAAUAUGCAUCCAAUCAAUAAAGCCAUCCUCAGUUCGGAUUGGGGUCUGCAACCCGACC